UCUGGGCUGCACGCGCGCUACACUGAUGCAUGCAACGAGUUCUUGACCUUGGCCGGAAGGUCUAGGUAAUCUUUUGAGUGUGCAUCGUGAUGGGGAUAGAUUAUUGCAAUUAUUAAUCUUCAACGAGGAAUGCCUAGUAGGCGUAAGUCAGCAGCUUGCGCCGAUUACGUCCCUGCCCUUUGUACACACCGCCCGUCGCUGCAACCGAUCGGAGGGUCCUGUGAACUCAAUGGACUGAUCAACUCCUUUUUGGGUGUUGGUCGGGAAGUUGCGUAAAUAGAGCCCUCUAAAGGAUGCAAAAGUCGUAACACGGUUUCCGUAGGUGAACCUGCGGAAGGAUCAUUC
rnacentral:rRNA from 1 species